AUGUUGAUUUAAAGCUCAAGAAGUGAUAAAAAAAUGGUUGUAUGACAAAAGUGAUUUUGAACAGAUUAUAAACACUAAAAAUAACAUUAUUUGGUGUAAUAUAAUGUACUUGUUUAUGUUGUUGCAUGUUCUUGAAUAUAGUUAAAAAUGCAAGUAUUUGAUGAUUUGUGCAAGAUAUGAUAAAUGAUCAAUUAAAUCAGCAAGUAAACAUGAAUAAAUCACAUGUUUGAUGCAUCUAAACUCAUAUGAAAAGAUGAUGAUAUGAUAGUGUGCUUUAGACACUUGUACAUGAAGGAAUAUGUUGAUUUAAAGCUCAAGAAGUGAUAAAAAAAUGGUUGUAUGACAAAAGUGAUUUUGAACAGAUUAUAAACACUAAAAAUAACAUUAUUUGGUGUAAUAUAAUGGCAUAAAACUUUGACAAAGGUUUGGUAGCAUUGCAUGUUGUACAUAUAGCUUAAAAAGUGAUAAAAUAUGUGAAAUUUGCAUGAUUUAUAUGCUCUAUUUAAGACCUGCACUAUUGU
rnacentral:lncRNA from 1 species